GAUUGCUACCUCCCUGCCUAUAAGUAGCUUUGGUGGAGGGCAGAUCGGAGACUCUGGAGAGGAGACAGAAGAGAUGGGACGCCACACCUUCUGGGGAUUCUGCCUCUUGGCCUGCUUGACUGUGGCCUCCUGGGUGGAAGCAUUACCAAGCAUCCAGGGCCGAGCCAAGUGUCCCGAAGAAGCCGUUUAUUAUCGACAGCAAUGCUAUCAGGCGGUUGAUGUAGCCGUCACCUGGGACGCCUGCAGAGGUC